CCUACGGGCGGCAGCAGUGGGGAAUAUUGGACAAUGGGGGGAACCCUGAUCCAGCCAUGCCGCGUGUGUGAAGAAGGCCCUCGGGUUGUAAAGCACUUUCAGGGAGGAAGAACGCCUGGUGGUUAAUACCCAUCAGGAAAGACAUCACUCACAGAAGAAGCACCGGCUAACUCCGUGCCAGCAGCCGCGGUAAUACGGAGGGGGCGAGCGUUAAUCGGAAUUACUGGGCGUAAAGCGCGCGUAGGUGGCUUGAUAAGCCGGUUGUGAAAGCCCCGGGCUCAACCUGGGAACGGCAUCCGGAACUGUCAAGCUAGAGUGCAGGAGAGGAAGGUAGAAUUCCCGGUGUAGCGGUGAAAUGCGUAGAGAUCGGGAGGAAUACCAGUGGCGAAGGCGGCCUUCUGGACUGACACUGACACUGAGGUGCGAAAGCGUGGGUAGCAAACAGGAUUAGAUACCCCGGUAGUC
rnacentral:rRNA from 1 species